UUUUAGCCCCGAUUAAAGUGGAAAUCCUUUUUAUUUUUUCUUUAAAAAUAAAAAGAUUGCAACGGAAAGCGGGAAAUAGC
rnacentral:sRNA from 1 species